rnacentral:rRNA from 1 species
GCGGGACACGUGGUAUCCUGUCUGAAUAUGGGGGGACCAUCCUCCAAGGCUAAAUACUCCUGACUGACCGAUAGUGAACCAGUACCGUGAGGGAAAGGCGAAAAGAACCCCGGCGAGGGGAGUGAAAAAGAACCUGAAACCGUGUACGUACAAGCAGUGGGAGCCUCUUAAUGGGGUGACUGCGUACCUUUUGUAUAAUGGGUCAGCGACUUAUAUUCUGUAGCAAGGUUAACCGAAUAGGGGAGCCGAAGGGAAACCGAGUCUUAACUGGGCGUUAAGUUGCAGGGUAUAGACCCGAAACCCGGUGAUCUAGCCAUGGGCAGGUUGAAGGUUGGGUAACACUAACUGGAGGACCGAACCGACUAAUGUUGAAAAAUUAGCGGAUGACUUGUGGCUGGGGGUGAAAGGCCAAUCAAACCGGGAGAUAGCUGGUUCUCCCCGAAAGCUAUUUAGGUAGCGCCUCGUGAAUUCAUCUCCGGGGGUAGAGCACUGUUUCGGCAAGGGGGUCAUCCCGACUUACCAACCCGAUGCAAACUGCGAAUACCGGAGAAUGUUAUCACGGGAGACACACGGCGGGUGCUAACGUCCGUCGUGAAGAGGGAAACAACCCAGACCGCCAGCUAAGGUCCCAAAGUCAUGGUUAAGUGGGAAACGAUGUGGGAAGGCCCAGACAGCCAGGAUGUUGGCUUAGAAGCAGCCAUCAUUUAAAGAAAGCGUAAUAGCUCACUGGUCGAGUCGGCCUGCGCGGAAGAUGUAACGGGGCUAAACCAUGCACCGAAGCUGCGGCAGCGACACUAUGUGUUGUUGGGUAGGGGAGCGUUCUGUAAGCCUGUGAAGGUGGCCUGUGAGGGUUGCUGGAGGUAUCAGAAGUGCGAAUGCUGACAUAAGUAACGAUAAAGCGGGUGAAAAGCCCGCUCGCCGGAAGACCAAGGGUUCCUGUCCAACGUUAAUCGGGGCAGGGUGAGUCGACCCCUAAGGCGAGGCCGAAAGGCGUAGUCGAUGGGAAACAGGUUAAUAUUCCUGUACUUGGUGUUACUGCGAAGGGGGGACGGAGAAGGCUAUGUUGGCCGGGCGACGGUUGUCCCGGUUUAAGCGUGUAGGCUGGUUUUCCAGGCAAAUCCGGAAAACCAAGGCUGAGGCGUGAUGACGAGGCACUACGGUGCUGAAGCGACAAAUGCCCUGCUUCCAGGAAAAGCCUCUAAGCAUCAGGUAACAUCAAAUCGUACCCCAAACCGACACAGGUGGUCAGGUAGAGAAUACCAAGGCGCUUGAGAGAACUCGGGUGAAGGAACUAGGCAAAAUGGUGCCGUAACUUCGGGAGAAGGCACGCUGAUAUGUAGGUGAAGCGACUUGCUCGUGGAGCUGAAAUCAGUCGAAGAUACCAGCUGGCUGCAACUGUUUAUUAAAAACACAGCACUGUGCAAACACGAAAGUGGACGUAUACGGUGUGACGCCUGCCCGGUGCCGGAAGGUUAAUUGAUGGGGUUAGCGGUAACGCGAAGCUCUUGAUCGAAGCCCCGGUAAACGGCGGCCGUAACUAUAACGGUCCUAAGGUAGCGAAAUUCCUUGUCGGGUAAGUUCCGACCUGCACGAAUGGCGUAAUGAUGGCCAGGCUGUCUCCACCCGAGACUCAGUGAAAUUGAACUCGCUGUGAAGAUGCAGUGUACCCGCGGCAAGACGGAAAGACCCCGUGAACCUUUACUAUAGCUUGACACUGAACAUUGAGCCUUGAUGUGUAGGAUAGGUGGGAGGCUUUGAAGUGUGGACGCCAGUCUGCAUGGAGCCGACCUUGAAAUACCACCCUUUAAUGU